rnacentral:rRNA from 1 species
CCUACGGGCGGCAGCAGUGAGGAAUAUUGGUCAAUGGGCUUACGCCUGAACCAGCCAAGUCGCGUGAGGGAAGACUGCCCUAUGGGUUGUAAACCUCUUUUGUCAGGGAGCAACGCCGGCUACGUGUAGCCGGCCUGAGAUUCCCUGCAGACAAAGCAUCGGCAAACCCCUUCCCAGCAGCCGCGGUAAUACGGAGGAUGCGAGCGUUAUCCGGAUUUAUUGGGUUUAAAGGGUGCGUAGGCGGAAUGCCAAGUCAGCGGUAAAAGCGCGGGGCUCAACCUCGCUCCGCCGUUGAAACUGGCGUUCUGGAGUGGGCGAGAAGUAGGCGGAAUGCGUGGUGUAGCGGUGAAAUGCAUAGAUAUCACGCAGAACUCCGAUUGCGAAGGCAGCAUACCGGCGCCCAACUGACGCUGAAGCACGAAAGCGUGGGUAUCGAACAGGAUUAGAUACCCGUGUAGUC